rnacentral:lncRNA from 1 species
AUGAUUUCAGUAAUUAAAAGAGAAGUGUUCACCCGCUUGUUGAUUCACUGCCGGUUGUGUUCCCUGGCUGCAAUCAGAGCACAGUUUCCCCUUCAGAAGUUUGGAAUCAAAGAGAAGGAUUUUCUCCACGUUGAAAGUUUCAAAAGAAGUUUUUUCCCUUUCCCUGGAUACAUGGUGAUUAUUUGCAAAGCAGAUCCCACUGCCAGUGCAGAUAUGCACAUGAAUUUCUUCAAAACUUCCAGUUUCCUAAACUUUUCUAGAAAAAAAAAAUAAUUUAAAUCAAUAGAAAUCCUUGAUAUGCUUAUAUGCUUUAAAGGGCAACCUGGCAUCCCGAGGAGCAGAUAACAUAAAACAAGAUCCCUUUUGUAAGGACUGAAAUGGGAAAAGAAUAGAAAAAAGGAGAAGGGAGGAAAAAAAAUAGGGGGUGGUAAAGAUGUUGCUGCUGGAUCUCGCUCCAGAGACACAAUGUGCGUUUCAUUGCCACGAAUAAACUGUAUCCAGGGAACA